rnacentral:rRNA from 1 species
GACGAACGCUGGCGGCGUGCUUAACACAUGCAAGUCGAACGGAAAGGCCCUGCUUUUGUGGGGUGCUCGAGUGGCGAACGGGUGAGUAACACGUGAGUAACCUGCCCUUGUCUUUGGGAUAACUUCAGGAAACUGCGGCUAAUGCCGGAUAGGAUCUCCUGCUCCAUGGUGUGGGUUGGAAAGUUUCGGCGGUUGUGGAUGGACUCGCGGCUUAUCAGCUUGAUGGUGGAGUAGUGGCUUACCAAGGCUUUGACGGGUAGCCGGCCUGAGAGGGUGACCGGCGACAUUGGGACUGAGAUGCGGCCCAGGCUGCUACGGGAGGCAGCAGUGGGGAAUAUUGCACAAUGGGCGGAAGGCUGAUGCAGCAACGCCGCGUGCGGGAUGACGGCCUUAGGGUUGUAAACCGCUUUCGCCUGUGACGAAGCGUGAGUGACGGUAAUGGGUAAAGAAGCACCGGCUAACUACGUG